rnacentral:lncRNA from 10 species
ACACAGAAAGUAAAUGAAGAAAAAAGUUAGCACUGAAGUACAAUGCAUACUCCUUAGGUUCUUAAACUCUACCAGUCUAACAGAAAGCACCAAGAUACAGAUGCCAAAGUCAGAAAAAAUACAAAGCAGCUCAGAAUCAAUAUCAUAUAUCUUAUUCAAGGUAAAUUUUAUGUUAGAUUCUUUGUCUGGCAUUUGGGAGGCUAAAUUAACUUAGGAGGCUAGAGAUCCCAUCUCUACUUUUUUUUUCUUUUUGAGAUGGAGUCUUGCUCUGUUGCCCAGGCUGGAGUGCAGCGGCAUGAUCUCGGCUCACCGCAAGCUCCGCCUCGCCGCUUGACGCCAUUCUCCUGCUUCAGCCUCGGAGUAGCUGGGACUACAGGAGAAUCACUUGAACCUGGGAGGCGGAGGUUGCAGCGAGCGGAGGUUGCAGUGAGCCAAGAUCGCGCCAUUGCACUCCAGCCUGGGAGACAAGAGUGAAACUCCAUCUCAAAAAAAUAAAAAAUAA